GCACAAUGGUUCCCAUAAACUUAAUUUCAUUUUGUAUAUAAUUCAGCAGCAAUAAUUUCAGGAUACGCGAGAACAUGCGCAACAAACCUGUUUUAUAUAUGGCUUUGUAAAAAAAAAAAAACUCAAAAGUCUUCGUUCCUUUAGUUCCAUGGAUUAAACAUCGAAACACGUUAAAUGGGUCUAGGACUUUUAAUAAAGCAACAAACCAAUAGGUGUUAAAAAAACAAUGGAUCACUUAGACGUUCGCUGGUAAUGUUUAACAUGUUCAAAACCAAGGCUUUCGUUCAGGGUGGUGGGGCAAGAGAAGAAAUACUGUACCAGACUUAGUCCGGUCGUAAGGUCAAAGGUAGCAUUUAGUUUAGGGUAGCAUUUAGUUUACACAACAUUUGCAUUAGGAUAGCACUAAGUUUAAAGUAGCAUUUAGUUUAGGGUAGCAUUUAAUUUAGUUACAUUCAGAUUAGGGUAGCACAGAGUUUAAGGUAGCAUUUAGUUAAGGGUAGCAUUUAGUUUAGAAUAUAGGCUAGAGAUAGGUUACAUUUAGUUUAGGGUUUCAUUUAGUUUACACAACAUUUAGUUUAGAGUAUAGGCUAGAUAUAGGUUAGAUUUAGUUUAGGGUUCCAUUUAGUUUACACAACAUUAAGUUUAGAAUAUAGGCUAGAGAUAUGUUACAUUUAGUUUAGGAUAGCAUUUAGUUUAGGGUAUAGUUUACACAACAUUUAGUUUAGGGUUCCAUUUAGUUUACACAACAUUUAGUUUAGAAUAUAGGCUAGAGAUAGGUUACAUUUAGUUUAGGAUAGCAUUUAGUUUAGGGUAACAUUUAGUUUACACAACAUUUAGUUUAGACGUCCGGCCUAAGGCAGCAAUUAGUUUAGAAUAUAGGCGGAGAUAGGUUACAUUUAGUUUAGGAUAGCAUUUAGGUUAGGGUAACAUUUAGUUUAGAAUAUAGGCGGAGAUAGGUUACAUUUAGUUUAGGAUAGCAUUUAGAUUAGGGUAACAUUUAGUAUAGAAUAUAGGCGGAGAUAGGUUACAUUUAGUUUAGGAUACCAUUUAGAUUAGGGUAACAUUUAGUUUAGAAUAUAGGCGGAGAUAGGUUACAUUUAGUUUAGGAUACCAUUUAGAUUAGGGUAACAUUUAGUUUAGAAUAUAGGCGGAGAUAGGUUACAUUUAGUUUAGGAUAGCAUUUAGAUUAGGGUAACAUUUAGUUUAGAAUAUAGGCGGAGAUAGGUUACAUUUAGUUUAGGAUAGCAGCAUUUAGUUUAGAAUAUAGGCGGAGAUAGGUUACAUUUAGUUUAGGAUAACAUUUAGAUUAGGGUAACAUUUAGUUUAGAAUAUAGGCGGAGAUAGGUUACAUUUAGUUUAGGAUAGCAUUUAGAUUAGGGUAACAUUUAGUUUAGAAUAUAGGCGGAGAUAGGUUACAUUUAGUUUAGGAUAGCAGCAUUUAGUUUAGAAUAUAGGCGGAGAUAGGUUACAUUUAGUUUAGGAUAGCAUUUAGAUUAGGGUAGCAUUUAGUUUAGAAUAUAGGCGGAGAUAGGUUACAUUUAGUUUAGGAUAGCAUUUA